rnacentral:rRNA from 1 species
UACGAAGGGGGCUAGCGUUGCUCGGAAUCACUGGGCGUAAAGGGUGCGUAGGCGGGUCUUUAAGUCAGGGGUGAAAUCCUGGAGCUCAACUCCAGAACUGCCUUCGAUACUGGAGAGCUCGAGUCCGGGAGAGGUGAGUGGAACUGCGAGUGUAGAGGUGAAAAUUCGUAGAUAUUCGCAAGAACACCAGUGGCGAAGGCGGCUCACUGGCCCGGUACUGACGCUGAGGUGCGAAAGCGUGGGGAGCAAACAGGG